rnacentral:rRNA from 1 species
AUGAACGCUAGCUACAGGCUUAACACAUGCAAGUCGAGGGGCAGCAUGGUCUUAGCUUGCUAAGGCCGAUGGCGACCGGCGCACGGGUGAGUAACACGUAUCCAACCUGCCGUCUACUCUUGGACAGCCUUCUGAAAGGAAGAUUAAUACAAGAUGGCAUCAUGAGUCCGCAUGUUCACAUGAUUAAAGGUAUUCCGGUAGACGAUGGGGAUGCGUUCCAUUAGAUAGUAGGCGGGGUAACGGCCCACCUAGUCUUCGAUGGAUAGGGGUUCUGAGAGGAAGGUCCCCCACAUUGGAACUGAGACACGGUCCAAACUCCUACGGGAGGCAGCAGUGAGGAAUAUUGGUCAAUGGGCGAGAGCCUGAACCAGCCAAGUAGCGUGAAGGAUGACUGCCCUAUGGGUUGUAAACUUCUUUUAUAAAGGAAUAAAGUCGGGUAUGGAUACCCGUUUGCAUGUACUUUAUGAAUAAGGAUCGGCUAACUCCGUGCCAGCAGCCGCGGUAAUACGGAGGAUCCGAGCGUUAUCCGGAUUUAUUGGGUUUAAAGGGAGCGUAGAUGGAUGUUUAAGUCAGUUGUGAAAGUUUGCGGCUCAACCGUAAAAUUGCAGUUGAUACUGGAUAUCUUGAGUGCAGUUGAGGCAGGCGGAAUUCGUGGUGUAGCGGUGAAAUGCUUAGAUAUCACGAAGAACUCCGAUUGCGAAGGCAGCCUGCUAAGCUGCAACUGACAUUGAGGCUCGAAAGUGUGGGUAUCAAACAGGAUUAGAUACCCUGGUAGUCCACACGGUAAACGAUGAAUACUCGCUGUUUGCGAUAUACAGUAAGCGGCCAAGCGAAAGCAUUAAGUAUUCCACCUGGGGAGUACGCCGGCAACGGUGAAACUCAAAGGAAUUGACGGGGGCCCGCACAAGCGGAGGAACAUGUGGUUUAAUUCGAUGAUACGCGAGGAACCUUACCCGGGCUUAAAUUGCAGAUGAAUUACGGUGAAAGCCGUAAGCCGCAAGGCAUCUGUGAAGGUGCUGCAUGGUUGUCGUCAGCUCGUGCCGUGAGGUGUCGGCUUAAGUGCCAUAACGAGCGCAACCCUUGUUGUCAGUUACUAACAGGUUCUGCUGAGGACUCUGACAAGACUGCCAUCGUAAGAUGUGAGGAAGGUGGGGAUGACGUCAAAUCAGCACGGCCCUUACGUCCGGGGCUACACACGUGUUACAAUGGGGGGUACAGAGGGCCGCUACCACGCGAGUGGAUGCCAAUCCCAAAAACCUCUCUCAGUUCGGACUGGAGUCUGCAACCCGACUCCACGAAGCUGGAUUCGCUAGUAAUCGCGCAUCAGCCACGGCGCGGUGAAUACGUUCCCGGGCCUUGUACACACCGCCCGUCAAGCCAUGGGAGCCGGGGGUACCUGAAGUGCGUAACCGCGAGGAGCGCCCUAGGGUAAAACUGGUGACUGGGGCU